UACCAGAACGUCAUUGGAAGGACUGGUUUUACAAUGGAGACCUUGCCUGGAGUAUCAUAUUUGAGAAGGAUGUUCAUUUGCUGUAUAUGACCAGGCACUUUUAAGGAACUAAAAUGUUUAUGGAGCAAUUCUUACGAAGCACAUGUGGGAAAAGUAGUCUGAUACCCGGCCUACAGUGUUCUCUGCCUUAUAGCGUCCCCUUUUUAGGAUGCUGAAGUCUUUAAAACCUCCAAGACUAAAAGAAUUGACAUUUGCCACCAACUCUCAACAGAUGGUCUCACCAAGUUUAUAGGAACCAGAGCUAACGAGAAUCCCCGAGAGACUAUUUCUUAGUCCUUGCUUCACCCCAAUAAGCCAAGGGGCUUACGGUCAGCUUUGAGUUGUUCAGGAUGAAUGAUAUUCAUGUGUCUUGAAUAAUCGCCAUUGUCUUGACAGUGGUCAACUCUGUCUGAGCCCUGUGUUUCUGGAAACCAGCAGCAGUCAGGACCCUUCCUUUCCACUCGUUUGUGUUCUAAAAAGUGACUAACCAUAAAAGACUACCCUACCGUCACAUAGUCCUUGGUAAGACCCAUCUCCAUCCUUCCUCAAACACUUUCUUGUUUAUCUGCCUCUGUAAAAUCCCUGGUCCCAUGUCCCUUUCCUUGAGAGGUUCCUAAUUAAUAAAUGUUCUCCCUAGCACAGUAGCUUGAAUAAAACCAUCUCCUUAAUUAUCA